rnacentral:sRNA from 1 species
CAUCUUCGUCCUCCUUUUGUGCUAAAUAUUCAUUGUU